rnacentral:misc_RNA from 1 species
CUUGAUUUUGGCUCUUCUACCUAAAAUAGAGAACCAAGUCGAGAUGCUGUCGUUUCUAGGAACCAACAAAAUCAAACAGAAUCCAGAUUUCCAUUUCUUCUCAUAUCAGCCAACUGAGCUCGCUUUCUACCCUCUCUCUCGCCGGUGCCAUGGAGGAUCUUCCUUUACAGAAGGUGGCAAUAUCAGGUCCCACGUUAACCUCCAUGAUACAGCGCUUCUCCUCCUCUCUCGGUGACGUAGACGGCAUCCUAUUCGGCCACGUCACCCACAUGCCCUCCACUCUCUCCGACGACUCACCGCAAGCCCGCUCUGACUCCGAUCCCUCUCAACUCGUGGCCAACGUCACUUCCUUCCUUUGCCCCAGCUCACCUCUCUCCUUUUACGAUUCAUUUGGCCGAGUCGACUCUUCUUCUCUCCAUCGAUUCCUGCCCUCUCAAACUCACCACCAGUUCAUUGGCUGGUUCUCCGCCCGCCGCAAAACCCCUAUUCGCCCUUCAAUGCGCGAAUUUUCCGUCUCGCGUUCUCUCUCCACCAACUCUCAGUUCUCUUUCCCCAUCAAAAACUCCGAAAAUCCAAUUAAGCUUGCUCCUUGCAUUUUUCUCUUAUUCGCUACUCCUUUACAAGACCAAUUAAUUCAUACGCACGAGUACCGCGCUUACCAGUUCCGUGUAUCGACGCAGUCGUUUGAUCCCAAGUCGAUUGAUAUUGUGAAUAUAGGGCCGGCGUUCCGGGGGCAUUAUGGAUCGUUUAGCCCUAAUUCGCCCUUCCCGAUGUUGAAUUGUGAGUUAAGUUGCUUAUCGGCUAUGAAUGAGGAUAAACAUGAAGAGAAUUUGAGUGAAAAUAAGCAGGUUUCCAAGGACCAGAGGGAGCUGGAUAUGUGCGCAGAGGAUUUUCCGGUUUCGAAUUUGGGCCAGUUAAUGGGAUCGGAGGCUUCGAAUUAUACUGCAGGUUUGGAAUAUUUGUAUGAGAAGAUGUUGGCCAAAAUUGACAGCUUGGCCAGACAGGUGGAGAAGAGCAAUGCUAAGGUUCUUGAGCAGGAAACUCAUAAUAGGAAGUUAAGGCACAAAGUUGCCCGGACUGGACCAGAGUAACUGUUUCAUUCUUGCUUGUAUUUUUUAGGUUGCG